UACAGAGGUGGCAAGCGUUGUUCGGAAUUACUGGGCGUAAAGGGCGCGUAGGCGGCCAUCUAAGUCAGACGUGAAAUCCCCCGGCUUAACCUGGGAACUGCGUCUGAUACUGGACGGCUUGAGUAUGGGAGAGGGAUGUAGAAUUCCAGGUGUAGCGGUGAAAUGCGUAGAUAUCUGGAGGAACACCGGUGGCGAAGGCGGCAUCCUGGACCGUACACUGACGCUGAGGAGCGAAAGCCAGGGAGGCAAACGGG
rnacentral:rRNA from 1 species